rnacentral:lncRNA from 1 species
UACUCGGAUAGCCUUCGGAAACUUACAACUAGAGGUCAUCGACCUUCGGUGACAAGCUAAAGAGAAAGAUAAUAUUUUAAUUUCUUUGGUUAGUAAGUUAAAGGAAAACCGUGCUAAACUUGAAAAAAAAUCUGAAGAGGAAAAUACAAAAGUUUUGAAACUGGAAGAUGAGUAAAAGGCUAGUGCAAAACGUAUUGCCGAAUAUCGAGUCUCUACUGAGGUCACAAGCUGAGUCACACAAAUCUGAGAUGAUGUGUUGGGGACUUGUUCUCAAAUGCUAUGAAUUAAGAACAAGGCAACACAAAAUGUUAAAUGUUAAUGCCCUUCGUCCUUCAAAGCAUUAUUUCCCUUAGGAUAUAAUGAUCUUUAGACGAAGGUCAUGAAGGACAUACCUUCGUCAUCGCAGUAUAUGUUAAUAAAAGAAUAAGCAUAUGAAAUAUAAGAGACAACAUAAAUAAUCAUAUCACAUUAUUAAUUCAUCCUCAUUAUAUUAUCAUGGAAAGACAGAAACAAUAUUGAAUUACAAAUGUACCUUCGGCUUGACAGAAGGUAAGAGUACAAGCGUGACGCACAAGCAAGUACAAGUCAGCGUGAACAGUACAGGGGUACUGUUCAUCUAUUUAUAGGCACAGGGCGCAGCCUGUGUAAAUUUACAUUCAUGCCCUUUAUAUUUACUAUUGACUCAUGGAUAAACCAACGAGGACUAAAUAGCCUUUUCCCUUUAGGUCGGUUCCUUUUUUCGCCACUUAGCCGAAGCUCCCUUGCGCGUAGCUUCGGAGCAACACCAGCCUUCGUCACGACCAUGCUCUUCACAUUGUAUAUGCUUUUAACCUGAGUCCGAAGGUAUCUGUUCAUAUGUCACACUUGGAAGACAUUGUUAAAUCAUGUUUUUGAGGACCUUCGGAAGACGAAGGCCCCCAACAGUAGCCCCUCGCAGUAUUAAUUUGUUAAGAUAACGAAUUCAGACUGCAACAUGGACAAAGGCCUUAAGCCAAAGGUCUGAAAAAACACCUUCCCUUUGCUAGAAUAGCAACAGUCAAUGACAGACGGGGCCCUCCAAUUUGGAGCGCACUGGGCGUAUAAAUAGGAACUUACACCGACUCCACUUGAUACACUGCUUGUGCCAUUUGCUUUAUUUUCUCAAUUUUAUAGCACUUGCUCACUAGCGCUUGCUAGUUUUUCAAGCUUUCUGAGCUUCGGUUCAAAAGACGCGUUUUCACCAUUUCUGAAGAAAAAUGUCUCAAGACAAGAAGGUUGCUGCCGAGACGAAACUGACUGAAGAGGAGAAGCUUUUUGAGGUGAAGAAGACUGUGGAUUCUUAUAUUGCUGGAUUUGUCGAGUCGAUGGCAAAAACAAAUACAGAGAAGAUUACUAAAGAGAUACUGGAGGGUUUGUCUAAAGAUACUGGUGACAGUGAUAGCUAUGAUGUGGAAAGUGUGGACGAAGAUUCUGAGGAUCGGCCCUGGAGGCUAAGUCAUUCAAUCUUCGGGAAGUCGACCAUCAAACAGAGUCAUCUUGAGAACAUGAGAGGAAGGUAUUUUCGGGAUAUGUCUAUUGUGAGGGCUGGCGGAGACAACAACGUCCCUGCCCCUGAGGAGAACGAGGUUGUGAUUUUCCGAAGCUUCUUCAAGGCUGGGCUUCGGUUCCCUUUGAGUAAGUUUGUAGUUGAAGUGCUGAAGACCUACCAAAUCUUCCUUCAUCAGAUCACCCCCGAAGCCAUAAUAAGGAUGGGGAUUUUUUGUCUGGGCAGUGAAAAGUCAAGGGCUAGAGCCAAGUGCCAAGUGCUUCUGCAAUAUGCACGAACUACUAUAUGAGACGAAGGCCAUGGGUAAAGAAUAGUACCACAACAACUUCGGUUGUUAUGGAUUUAUCGCCCGCCCCAACGCAAGCCACCUAGUGCCAACAUUUCGAAAGAGAUGGCCCGGAGCUUGGAUGGAAGAAUGGUUCUAUGUGAAAAAUGAUUUGAAAGCAAGGGAAGAUAUUAAGGAAGUCAUUAUGCGCCCCAUAUGGUCCCGCUUCGGCCUCCGAAGGCCGAAGGUCGAAAUUGAUGACGCCGCCGAAGCGUGUCAGAGGGCCUUCAACACUGUUUUCUCUUUUAUUGGGACAAGGGAUUUAAUUCAAGAACAUAUAACCUUCAGGGUGUGGCCGCUUGUAGAAAGCUGGGAAAUGCCGAAGGAGACCAUCACUAACUCUAGCGAAGGUGAUUUGGUCCGGCUGAAGUAUACAUUCAGGUUUGGGGAUAAGUUCGAUGAACCAAACGAUGACUGGCUGAAGUGUAUUGAAGCUACAAGUGAUGAACUGCUUGGAGCAUAUUCCAAGGCAGAAGAUAAUGCACUAUCUGCAGCCUUAGGAGGUUGGGGAAAGAAAAGACUGAACAAAGUUUUUGACGCCAUUGGCUUUGUUUACCCUAACUACCGCUAUCCGCUACUGGGACAGGGAAAAAAUAGAAAAGCUGCUACUUCGGACACCCCAGUUGGGCCUGUGCCGAAGGGAAAAAAGUUGAAGGUUCUGGCUCACCGGCCACGUUACAUCGAACCGGCCACGAUUCUUGAAUUUGGUGAAGGGGCCUCUUCGGCUGCCGAAAUAAAUGAAACUGUUCCGCCUGCGCAGAACACUAGAGAACCGACCAUAAUGCCGAAGUUACUUUCAGUUAAGCUAGUUGAGGCGACGGCUGAUAAGGCUGAGGGGUCAAAAAAUGGAGAAAUAUCAAAGAUGCCAGAGAUUUUGAGCCCUUCAACAGAGGCAACAGUGCCGAAGGCACAAAAGAGUUCUGCCACAACUCCUAAGAGGAGAAGGAUGGCAAAUGUGCUAGAUGUUGUGCUAGAAACAGCAAAAACCUUGAGUUCUACUCCUUCAAGAAAAAAUGCCAAAGCUUCGAAAGCGCAACCCGAAGCUGAAGCAAAGCAGGCAGAAGUUGAAGCUGCAACAAUUGAAGCUGAAAUCGAAGCUGGGCCUUCAUAGCCUACCGAGACAGAGCCUGCCGUAGUUGAAGAAAAGGCGGCAGAGCAAAUUGCAUCUGAAAAGGUUGAAGCUUUUGCUACCGAAGCUUCAAAAGAAAGCACUGAUUACAUCAUUCGUCAUGCUUCGGGGAAGAGACUUUCUCAAGAAGAAAAGCUAUAGGCACUACACUAUGCCCAAAAAUUAAAAUACUCAAAGGGGACAUUAGUGUUUAACGGCAGUGGGGAAGAAGACUUUUUGUACUGUCUCUAGGAUAAUAAAGAGAUAUCUGUCUGUCGGGAGAUAGGCAGAAGCAUCGGAUUCCCGAAGCUUGAAGAUGGUCUUUCAAUCUUAUCAAAGGAUGAGCUUGCUGACAGCUUAGCCUAUAAUAGCAUGAAGGUAUGAGAGUUACAUUUGAAUUUUUUAAAAAAAUGGGGUAUUUGAUUUGUCAUACUUAUUUUUUCCUCCACUUGCAGGGCCUAAUUCUUAGUAAUGCCCUCAGGGUACAGAAAAAUAUUGAAGAUGAAGGAUAUAUGAUGGCUCUGAACAACCUUCGUUCAGAGGUAAUCGAAUUAAGAAACGAAGGUCUUGAAAAAGAUAAAAUCUUGAUUUCAUUGGUAAACAAAGUGAAAGAAGAUGAAGCUAAUUUCAAGGCUCAAGCCGAAAACCAAAAGAAUGAAAUUGAAGACCUUCGAAAACAACUGGCAGAAGCCAAAGAAAAAUGCGCACUCGCAGAAGCUAACCGAGAGAUCAGCGAAUAUUGGAAAAACUAUUUAGAGAAAACUGUUGAAGAGCUUCGCGCAUCUAAGGAAAGAUGCUUUGAAAAAUCCUUGGGCUGCGUGGAGAAAAUAAAGGCUAGCUUCGCCAACGUGGGCGCCUAUUCUAACGAAGAUAACUUCAUACGAGGCGACCCUGAAGGUGUUAUCAAAUGGAUAAGUGGAGAGGCCGAAACUUUUGAAGAAAUUUUAAGUGAUCGCGGGGAUGUCUGCGCAUUCUCCGGUGCAAGGGGAAUUUUAGCUAUCCUGGAGAAGGCGGGAUGCGACCAUGUCAAGACCCUGGCCCAGGCCGAAGCUGCCUUCUCCAUGGAUGACACAAAGGAUCCCUUAGCUGAAGCAAGUUUAAUGGGCGGGAAAUUUUACAAUGACAUAUGGGUAAAUGGUGGCCGAGAGAUGGCUCACGAAAUUAUGAAGAAAAGUGAGAAAGACAUCCAUGACGCCCGAGUACAAGCAAAACAAGCUGAAGAAGCUACAGAGCGUGAGAGACGCAUAGGUAUUGUUUCGCGGCAUCUAGCUUCGGCAUUUGUUUUUGUGGCUUCGGACUAAUUAAUUUUUUCCACUGUAGCUGAAUUAUCUCCGCCACCAAAACCGUUCGAUCCCCUGGCCGAUCCAGAAACGAAGGAAGCACUAGAGAUCAUUAAUAUGGCCAAAUCUAUUGUUGACGAAGUCGUUAACAAAUUGCUAAAUGAAGUUGCGGAGAAGAACCUGAAAGAGGACUAGUACUUAUUGUAAAAACAUUUCUAGAUGGUCAAUGUAGCUUUAUUGUAACAAGACUGUAAUAUUCGAUGUGUAUAUCUUUGAAUCUAAUAUGUAAAUUAUUUGUAAUUCACUUCUUUGCGAUGCAUGAAACUUUUAUAUACAUACCAUUUUUGAGCCUUCGGCGAAAAAAACACCUUCCCUUCUUUUCAUGCUUCGUAAAGAAAAAGGUACAUGCUUCAUGAAAAUAUCUAUGCUUCGUAAGAACAUCCAAGCUUCGUAAAAACAUCCAUGCUUCGUGAACAAGAGAUCCCUUCUUUUGCAACAGAGCUGAUGAAACUGUAUUUCUCAGCUUACUUUGUACCUUAGUACACUUUCAUUUUUAUAAAGCAUUCUCUGAAGAUCGACUUCGUAUUCAAUUCGUGUCAUUGGUGCGAUAUGAUGUAUGAUGUGAUGCUAUGUGGGAUGAUGUGAUGAUAUGAUGCAAAGAAUGAUGCUAAUGCCGAAGACACACACCCACACGCCCACGCUGAAACACACAAUCUCUGCGUCCCCUUAGGAAUGAUCGGAAUCUCUUUGUCAUUUAUUUUUUGGCUUCACCGCUUCUUUUUCAAUGUAAGUUCUGCAUCCCCUUAGGAACGUCUUUUGAACUUCUUCGCCUUCUAUUUCAGCGGUAUAAGUUCGGUAUCCCCUUAGGAACGUCUUUUGAACUUCUUCGCCUUAUAUUUCGGUGGUAUUUGGCUCUGCAUUCCCUUUGGAACGACUUUUGAGCAGAAAACUUACACUGAGCUCCCUUAGGAACGACUUCUUGUAGCUUCGGCAAAACUUACACUAUGCUCCCUUAGAAAUGACUUUUUGUAGUUUCGACGAUUUUAGCUCUGCAUUCCCUUAGGAACGACUUUUUGAGCUUCGACAAUUUUUGAGCUUCGUAAGUCUAUGGAGAAGAUAUAUUUCAUUCUGAUAGAAGCAAAACUAUUACAAGGAAUUAAAACUAGAUUUACAUUGAUUGUUCCUUAUUAAAAACAAAAUGACAUAAAACAUAAAAGUGUUUCGGGGGUAGGAUAUCGCUCAAUAAAUGUGCUUUGAUUCUGGCACAGUACUGUUGACUGUGCGAGCUUCGGAUUCCUCCCUGAACUCCUGUUGCUGUUGAGUGUGCUGGCACCCUUCUGGCUGCUGGCUUCGGGAAUAGGUCGGUUGCAGUGGUGGUGGGGGUGGGAGCUGUGGCCAGGAAGCCUGUGAAUGGCUAGCCGAAGCAACAGAAGCUGCAGCAUGAUUGCCCACAUAUUCUAGUAUGUAGGGAGAGUGGCACGAAGCAGUGUGUAGGACCUGCUUCGGCUGAUUCUGCCGAGCUUCGGCUUCUGCGAUCUCCUUCUACUUCUGAAUGGUGAUUUGGCACAUUCUUGUAGUAUGGCCCUUGUCCUCACCACAGAAUAAGCAAUAAAUCUUCCUGGGCUCAUCCCCAUAUCUUCCUCCGAAGCCCCUGGCGCCUCUGCCCCUUGGAGCUGGCGGCCUAAAAGAGCUUUGUUGUUGCCUCGAAGAUUGCGAGGUGUACUGUGGCCUCUGAAGCUGGCUUCCUUUGUCGUCAUUCUGGCUGGAAUUGUGGAUUGACCUGACAUGCCUCGGGUGGAUUCUUCCUCCAAAGCGUCUGGUCAUCUCCAAGAAUCUGUAAGCUUCCUCCCUUCUUUGGCGGAAAUCGUUGUCAGCCCGGAUGUAUUCAUCCAUCUUCUGAAGCAGCUUCUCCAGAGUUUGUGGGGGCUUCCUGGCGAAGUACUGAACCGGGGGUCCUGGCCGAAGACCCUUAAUCAUGGCCUCAAUGACAAUUUCAUUGGGCAUGGUGGGCGCUUGUGCCCUCAGUCGCAAGAACCUUCAGACAUACGCCUGGAGGUAUUCCUCAUGGUCUUGCAUGCGCUGGAACAAGGCCUGAGCUGUGACUGGUUUCGUCUGAAAGCCUUGGAAACUGGUCACCAGCAUGUCCUUGAGCUUCUGCCACGACGUGAUAGUCCCUGGCCAAAGAGAAUAAUACCAUGUCUGGGCUACAUUCCAGACUGCCAUGACGAAGGACUUCGCCAUAACUGCGGUAUUGCCCCCGUACGAAGAUAUAGUUGCUUCGUAACUCAUCAGAAACUGAUUUAGAUCUGAGUGCCCAUCAUACAUGGGAAGCUGAGGUGGCUUGUAUGAUGGGGGCCAUGGGGUAGCCUGCAGUUCUGCUGCCAAGGCAGAAGCAUCAUCAAAAGUAAAGGUAUCAUGAUUAAAAUCAUCAUACCAUCCAUCUUCGUUGAAUAAGCCUUCUUGACGAAGCUCCCUGUGUUGGGGCCUUCGGUCUUGUUCAUCUUGAGCAAGAUGACGCACUUCUUCAGUAGCUUCGUCGAUCUUCCUUUGAAGAUCGGCCAGGUGCGCUAUCUUCUCCUUCUUCCUUUGCACUUGUUGAUGGAUGACUUCCAUAUCCCUGAUCUCUUGGUCCAGCUCCUCCUCCUAGAGUGUUGGACUAGUGGCCUUUUCUCUUUUGGCUUUGAGCCUCUCGGAGAGAGAGAGUCUCAUGAUUUGUGUCCAGUGGCUGCAGUGCAGCAGCCCCUGGCGUUGAAGCUUUCUUCGGCGGCAUGACGAAGGUCAGGGCUUGCCGAAGAUGGUCGAAUGGGUUCACCGGAGGUGGGCGCCAAUGUUGGGGACUUGUUCUCAAAUGCUAUGAAUUAAGAACAAGGCAACACAAAAUGUUAAAUGUUAAUACCCUUCAUCCUUCGAAGCAAUAUUUCCCUAAGGAUAUAAUGAUCUUUAGACGAAGGUCAUGAAGGACAUACCUUCGUCAUCGCAGUAUAUGUUAAUA